UACGAAGGGGGCUAGCGUUGCUCGGAAUCACUGGGCGUAAAGGGCGCGUAGGCGGCUUUUUAAGUCGGGGGUGAAAGCCUGUGGCUCAACCACAGAAUUGCCUUCGAUACUGGAAAGCUUGAGACCGGAAGAGGACAGCGGAACUGCGAGUGUAGAGGUGAAAUUCGUAGAUAUUCGCAAGAACACCGGUGGCGAAGGCGGCUCACUGGCCCGGAACUGACGCUGAGGCACGAAAGCGUGGGGAGCAAACAGG
rnacentral:rRNA from 1 species